UCAUAUUUAUAAAUGUAUUAAGAUAUACUGUAAUUUAUUUAUCACCAUUAAUCAGUAUGCAUAAUGUGACAUGUUCGAUUGUGGAGUAUAUGUUUGCAUGAUGAUGAUGUUUGAGAUGGGGGCAUUUGAGCUGUCAGAAGUAAUUUUUUUUAAUUAGAUAACUUCUUAAUUUAAUUUCUACAUAUAUGCUCAUUUUAAUUGUGGCAUAAUGAAUCUAUUGCCUAUUAGGAGCAAUCUGAUAUCUUCCGACAACAAAUUGCCAUUAAUCUAUACAGAAGCAAUUACAAUAUGUUCGCUUCGCCGAGAUAGGAACUCUUAUGCUUGAUAUAGAUUCUCGAUAAUGGUGUUAUGGAGUUUUAGCUUUUCAUCUUCGUGCGUAGUUAAUCUUGGAGCUCGUUUGUCUUGGGAGCAGUUACUCUUGUUAGCUUUUAGCAUAUUUUGUGGUCCACCGUAUUUUUCUUUCUCUUUCGUUUAAUGAUUAAUUGCAGAUGAUUUUAGAGACUGAUUUUUUUCUUUUUUUUUAUUGAAUUUGGGUUUUGGUUUAGGAUAAAUUUGAAUCCGACGGACUUUGGGGA